rnacentral:SRP_RNA from 1 species
GGCCGGGUCUUGCGCAAUGGAUGCCAGUGAACCGUGUCAGAUGGGGAACCAAGCAGCACUAAGCAGGAUUUUCCAUGUGCCGCAAGGGUGCCUGGCCGGA